GACGAACGCUGGCGGCGCGCCUAACACAUGCAAGUCGAACGGAGCUGAGAGGAGCUUGCUUUUCUCAGCUUAGUGGCGAACGGGUGAGUAACGCGUGAGUAACCUGCCCUGGAGUGGGGGACAACAGUUGGAAACGACUGCUAAUACCGCAUAAGCCCACGAUCCGGCAUCGGAUUGAGGGAAAAGGAUUUAUUCGCUUCAGGAUGGACUCGCGUCCAAUUAGCUAGUUGGUGAGGUAACGGCCCACCAAGGCGACGAUUGGUAGCCGGACUGAGAGGUUGAACGGCCACAUUGGGACUGAGACACGGCCCAGACUCCUACGGGAGGCAGCAGUGGGGGAUAUUGCACAAUGGGGGAAACCCUGAUGCAGCGACGCCGCGUGGAGGAAGAAGGUUUUCGGAUUGUAAACUCCUGUCGUUAGGGACGAUAAUGACGGUACCUAACAAGAAAGCAC
rnacentral:rRNA from 1 species